rnacentral:lncRNA from 1 species
CUCCCGUGUCCUUUGUGGAGUCACUGCCUCCCUUAGAGUUUUUAGAAAUACAUGUUUACCCUUCUUUAUACCCACAAAUCAUUCCCCCCUCAAACACAAUUCUGAUAUCUAGCUUUGCUACUGGGUACCGAUAUGGGUACAUAUCCAACACUAGUAUGGUAGACAUUUUGAAGUUUCCUUACUUCCUAGUUGAGCAGUGUCUCACCGCUAUUAAUAUGGUUCUUUUCUUUUUAUUUGUUUUGGUUGUGAUUGCAAGAAUGCAUUAUUUGGUGAAUUUCAUACUAAUUUGUUUUCAGCUUACAGUUAUCUGGAAAUUAGUGGAGAAGGUUCUUGUUCCAGCUCCAAAACAGUC